ACCUACGGGGGGCAGCAGUGGGGAAUAUUGCACAAUGGGGGGAACCCUGAUGCAGCGACGCCGCGUGAGCGAAGAAGUAUCUCGGUAUGUAAAGCUCUAUCAGCAGGGAAGAAAAUGACGGUACCUGACUAAGAAGCUCCGGCUAAAUACGUGCCAGCAGCCGCGGUAAUACGUAUGGAGCAAGCGUUAUCCGGAUUUACUGGGUGUAAAGGGAGCGCAGGCGGCGCGCCAAGUCUGGUGUGAAACCCCGGGGCUCAACCCCGGGACUGCAUUGGAAACUGGCGGGCUGGGGGGUCGGUGGGGCG
rnacentral:rRNA from 1 species